AGCAAACACUAACAGUUACAUUAGUGUUAGUAUUUUGAAGCAUUAACUGUCCAUACAUUGCACUUUAAAAAGAAUCUGUUGAGGCUCUUGUUGGUGAAUAGAAUAUAUUUUUUGGAAUAUAUUAUCUGUCAAAAUAGUACAAGAUCAUCCCACAAUAUAUGUGACAUCAAAUAAGGGUUAGCACAAAAGUAAUCUAAAUGUAAUCCAAAAGUAGUCAGAUUACGUUAUCCAAAAAUGUGUAAUCUAAGAGAUUAUAUUAAUGAUUAUGUAGUUUGUAAUCAGUAAAGGAUUACAAUUCAUAAGUAAUCUACCCAGCUCUGCAGACAUGUUACUUACUUUUUCAGAUGUCAUAUUCUGGUGAAAAUUAUUAUUUUGGUCAUACUUCCUAGACAUAGAAUCUGUGAUUCUGAAGUACAGUAUCCACCGGUGCGGUGACUGACAGCCUCACAUUCUCCUCAAAACAUUAGAUUCAUCAGCACUGAAGAGCCAUGCCAAUGCACAACCCACAAAAAUAAUAAUAACGCAAAUAACUGCAAUUGCAGGUUUCAAACAGAGAUGGCGACAAAGAGGCAAAACUCACGGACUGCAGCUUUAAUUGAAUUGCAAAUAAAAUGCAAUUAAGUGUCUAAAAACAUUCACUCUUAUAUUAUUUUAAAGUAUAUCGUUUCCAUGAUAAGUACUAUUUUUAAAGGAUGCUAAAGUGUAUUUUUUCAGAGUGGUUUCCUCUUAUGUUAUAAUGCUUAUUCUUUUCUGAAGACUUAAACAUUACUGUACUGCUGCUGUUUCUAUUCUAGACAAUCUGGCAGACCGAAGCGUUAUGUAGCCCAGCUGCCGAGCUCUGGCUCUUCAAUCACUGUUCAAUCAGUGAUUCUUUGGAGAGAAGGAGAAAAUUGCUUUCUGUUCACUAAGGAGGAAGGCUCUUUAAAAAUCCUUGAUAAUCGCUACUGAAAUGCUAAUGAAGGUCCUGUCACAACGGGGCUUGGACACAAUGAUGAGAGGAGAGUCAUAUGAACAAUGAACAGGGAGUACCGGGCAUAGACACACACACAUACACAAAGGAGCAGAUGAGAGAAUGACUUGAAUGACUUGAGGGCAAGGAUAACAGGGUUUGUAGAAGAUCACAGAAUCUUACAGAAGGAUAUUCUCUGGUCAUUUUCCAGGAAAUCAAAAACUGUGAAAGAUGAAGAAAACAGCAUGGUCCUUUAGAAAGUCCGAAAUAUCUUGUGCCAAGGACACUUGGCAAGUUAAUCUUCAUUACACACGGUGAAUCUGAGCCUUCCUAAUACACACUCACUCUGUUCUGUCAGCUUGUUUAAGUGGAAAACAACAAAGUUGCCUUUUUGAGUGUUUAGUGUUAUCUUACAAUUAGGUCAUUUCAGUCACAAAAAGGUUGUUGUUCACUGAUUUACUCAAACUGCACUGAAAACAAAUGAUGUAGGAUUUACUUUGAAACAAUUUUCACUCAAAAAAAAAAAAAAAAAUAGCAAAUUUCACAAAUAAUUAAAAGAUUAGUUCACUUUCA